CUGGGAGGAAAAUGAUCUGCAGAGUCAUCAAUUGUUUUGGUUAAAAUCUCCUGAGAGAAUUAGAAAAGCCUCUUGAGUAUUUGUUGCGUAAAUCCUGUCGUUUUCUGGUUAGUUGGGAAGGGUUUUAGUUGGAGCAUGUGGGUUAUGUCCAUACACAUUACAGAUGAUGAAACUAGCAUUGUCAAGUUUAACAGUUGCUAUGACCCAUCUAACCAUUCUGUAAAGAUGUGGACUCUAGAACGUCUCCUUUACACUUGUGGAGAAGCGUCUAAACACCAGAGAGAGGCCAUGACAGAGAUAGGCCAUGUCAGAGAGAGGCCAUGACAAAGAGAGGCCAUGUCAGAGAGAGGACCUGUCAGAGAGAGGCCAUGACAGAGAGAGGCCAUGACAGAGAGAGGCCAUGUCAGAGAGAGGCCAUGACAGAGAGAGGCCAUGUCAGAGAGAGGCCAUGUCAGGAGAGCGGAGGCAGCCAGGAGAGCGGAGGCAGCCAGGAGAGCGGAGGCAGCCAGGAGAGCGGAGGCAGCCAAGAGAGCGGAGGCAGCCAGGAGAGCGGAGGCAGCCAGGAGAGUGGAGGCAGCAGGAGAAGGGAACCAGCGAUACGAGGGAACACGGCUGGCAAGGAAGCCCGAGAGGCAGACCCAAAAUAUUUUUGGGGGAUUUUUUUUGGUGGGGGGCACACGGGAGUGUCGCAGAGUCAGGAGUCAGACCUGAGCCAACUCCCCGUGCUUACCGUAAGGAGACGAGGAUGGAACCAGAGCCCGUCGGGGUGGAAUUGGGAGGUGAGCGAAGCAGAGACAGUGAAGGAGUUGAUGGGGAGAUUGGAGGAGAGCGACAGAAGCAAGGCAGAGACAGUGAAGGAGUUGAUGGGGAGAUUGGAGGAGAGAGACGGAAGCGAGGCAGAGACAGUGAAGGAGUUGAUGGGGAGAUUGAAGGUGAGCGAAGGGAGCGAAGCAGAGAUAGUGAAGGAGUUAAUGGGGAGAUUGGAGGAGAGAGUAAUGAGGGAGUUGCUGUGUUGGUGCAUGAGGCACGACAUCCGCCCGACGGAGCGUGUCUGGGAUUUGAUGUCACCUGAGUCAGCUCUCCAUACUCGUCCUGAGGUGCGUGCUAGCCGUCUGGUGAAGACUGUGCCAGCCCCACGCACCAGGCCUUCUGUGCGCCUCCCUAGCCCUGCACGUCUUGUGCCAGCUUGGCGCUACAGAUCUCCAGUAUGCGUUCUUAGCCCAGUGCGCUACAUUCCAGCUCCCCGCAUCUGGUGGGCUAGUGUGAGGAUCCAGCCAGGACGGAUGGUGCCAGCCCUGCUCUCCAGACCUCCAGUGCGUCUCAUCGGGCCAGGAUAUCCUGCGCCGGCUCUAAGCACGGUUUCCCCAGUUCGCCAGGAGAUCCCAGUGCGGCCUGUUCCAGCUCCCCGCACGUGCCGAGCUAGAGUGGGCAUUCAGCCUGGAAGAGUGGUGCCAAGGCUACGCACCAGCUCUCCAGUGCUCCCAUACAGCCCGGUCUAUCCUGUGCCUCCUCCACAGACCAGGCCUCCAGUAGGUCUCCACAACCCGGUCUGUCCUGUGCCUCCUCCACGCACCAGGCCUCCAGUAGGUCUCCCCAGCCUGGUGAGUCCUGUGCCUGUUCCCAGAACCAGGUCUCCUGUCCGGCGCUGCCAGAGUCGCCCUCCUGUCCGGCACUGCCAGGGUCGCCCUCCUGUCCGGCGCUGCUAGGGUCGCCCUCCUGUCCGGCGCUGCCAGAGUCGCCCUCUUGUCCGGCGCUGCCAGGGUCGCCCUCCUGUCCGGCGCUGCCAGGGUCGCCCUCCUGUCCGGGGUCGCCAUCCUGUCCGGGGUCGCCCUCCUGUCCGGGGUCGCCCUCCUGUCCAGGGUCACCCUCCUGUCCGGGGUCGCCCUCCUGUCCGGUGCUGCCAGG
ensembl:lncRNA